ensembl:lncRNA
UUUGGUUCUGACGGUUCAAGGUCCUUUUUCCCCUUCCCCUUCAGGUACUUGUCUCCUUUUACUUCUGCCUGCGUCGCCAGUCACGUGUCUCAGCCAUCUCUUCCUCCUUCCCCCACCCCCAUCUUCAUCUCUGGUCGUGCCACGCUCUCUUUCUGCCUUAGAGUCAAAGGCUUUCACCAUUUCUGCUCCCUAGGUGUGGGCUGAAGGAAGCAGAGGGGGAGGGAACUAAAAAAAGACAGAUUUAUACUUCAGAAUAUGACACCGCCUCAUAAUCAGUUACUGUUAUGAGCAUUAAAGGGAAAACGGAGAAGAAAACAAGGUACCAUAGAAAACAAUAAGAGGAGCCACUUUUAACAGGGCUGGAGGUGGCUUCUCUGAGGGUGACAUUUAAGCUGAGACUAAGGGCAAGGAAGAUCAGUCAUCAUCACAAGGCAACUUGUAGGAAGGUAUCCAGGCAACAAAGUCUGCGACUUGUCCUGCAGGACUGUGGCUGAAAGAAGAGCAGAGGGACUGGGUCAUGGAGACUCAGACAAGAUGAGCCGAAGUGUUGAUUGGGAACCAGAUGGAGCAGAUUCUUGUCGGUGCUCCCAAAAGGUGUUUUUUUUUUAAUUUUUUUCUAUUUUUUUUUGGGCCGCUCCUGCAGCAUAUGGAGGUUCCCAGGCGAGGGGUCGAAUCAGAGCUAUAGCCACUGGCCUACACCAGAGCCACAGCAACUCGGGAUCCAAGCCGCGUCUGCAACCUACAGCACACGGCAACGCCGGAUCGUUAACCCACUGAGCAAGGGCAGGGACCGAACCCGCAACCUCAUGGUUCCUAGUCGGAUUCGUUAACCACUGCGCCACGACGGGAACUCCAAAAGGUUUUAUUUUAAGCGUAGUAGGAAUCUUGAUGUUGGCCACCAAUUCUGAUAUGCUAAGAAUUUCUGAUACCUACUGUGGCUAGUCACUAAAAAAUUAACAGUAUUAUAUUUUUUCUGUUUUAGUAUAGUACUGUUUUUUCUAUAUUGAGUUUUUCUUUCUAUCCCCUUAAACCACUUGACUAAGAUCUGGCACCUGAUAACAACCUUAGAAAUCAUUUUCUGUCUUUCUGUUGCUAUUUUCAAUGGAAAUUAGAGAGCUUUUUUCUGUUGUCAAUUGAUAGUUUCAGUAUUUCACAUAAGUCACUACAUGUCAAGUUCUUAUAGUUUCUGAGGAGUUUAAGGAUAGUCUAAUAUCCAUAAUAUGACCAUUUACAACUGGGACUAUUUCAUCAUCUGUAAAACAAAUAAUAACACGUUUAUCACAUAGCCUAUCUGAAAUUUAAAAAAGAGAAAGUAUGUGAAAGUAUCUGCCACUAUGGCAGAUGGCUUUUAAGAACCAAAUAAUGGCUAAUUAUUAUUAACUAUUAAUUGUUAACUAUUAAUGCAGGUAAUUGCAUCCUUCCUGUCUUACACUUUUGCCUGCAUGUAGAUUUAAACUUUAAGCUCACACUAAGAUGUUUCCUCUGCUCUCUAUUUAUUUUCAAGAGACAAUAAUAAAAUUCACCCAUUAAAUAUUCUAAUUUCAGAGGCAGGUGGCUCCCAGUCAUGCACUGUUUGAUUAUUGGCAAGUCAUUGGAUUUUUGGAUGUCCUUACAUCUGCAAAAUUUAUGUAAUGACACCUGUCCUAUCUACCUUUCCUAAUGAAGGUAAAAGAGAAUAUUGAUGAAUAUAACACUGGCAAAAGAUAUGUCUUUAUCUUUUCACAAAAAUACAGCAUUAUUGCUAUUUAUUACUAUUAUUAAACUGCCUCUUCAUCAAACCCCAGAUGGGUGUCUUCAUACUCUUAUCAUAGCAAAGUCUUCAUGUACAAAUCAGAAAAUGUCAACAGAGUAAGGCUCCUUCUUCUCUUGGCUGAGAAAUAAGUGGUUUGUCUUGAAGGAAUGCAGGGCUUGUCUUCAAAUCCUGGGCUAGGUCGCAUUCUGUCAUCAUUUAUGCUUUGUGGAACUCACCAAACCCAAUUACAAGUUAUUGUUUUAACCAUUAGUGGAGCAGACAGUAUAUUGCCUAAAGCCUCUGCUUCAUGAUUCUAUUUAAGCCUGACAUGCUUGAGAAGGACCAUUCUUCUAACUUACUAAGUGUUGGCCUGGAGACUACCAGUACCAGCCUAAAGCAAAGUUGAAAUGUGGUUAAUAUACCACAGCUCCAUUGGUAUAGCUAAUGAAAUGCAAACCAAGAAUGGACUUUGAUCUUGUCUUGUUCUUAAUUAUAUACUCAAAGAAAGAAGACACUGAUACAGAUGGGAAUCAGAUAAUACUUCACGAGCUACAUGUGAUCACUGGGAGGGUCGUGUGAGUUGUCUAAACUUUAACUCAAAUAUUAGUUGCUGAGCCGUGGGUGUGGGAAAUUCAGGGAGAGAGUCUUGGCAGUUGGGGUACCAGAACCAAACCUUUCUAGUUCAGUCAUGGACUGUGGACAGUUUUAAUGGUGUUGCAGGGUGUGUCAUACUGACCCAUAAACUCUCUCUUCUUGGUCUGAUUUCUCUUCUCUCAUGGAUACAGAACCAUUAGUUGAUAAUUUUAUCACUGCUCAUUUUACUCUGAAAUGUAAAUUACACUGUAGCCCUUGAGUGGCACUUUAACACUUCUAGGGAGAAGUCAUGUUUCAGUUCAUAGGUGUGGCUAUUAUCACCAACAACUAUGCAAAAAUAGCGUGGUCUAAAACUAAAGAAUGUAACUUUGAAUAUAAGCAAAGCAUCAGACUUUACAUCCUGGAGUGAUAUUGCAAUUAUGUUUUUGAUGGAACGUGAAUGUAAAUCUUUGCAGGGCUGAUAGGUACAAGAUUUGAUCUAGCUUCAGGUGGCCUGAGCCUAGCUUAUCACCUAGCACCUGCAUCUCAACUCAGCUUUUUCAUUCUGAAGUCAUCACCACAUAUGCAGGAGUCAGUACGUAUUCAGAAAUCUAACAAAAUGCAACACUAGAAAACGUGGGGACUUUAGACCUUCUCGAGGUUCUACCUCUGCAACCCAAAGCAGCAUGAUGCUGUCGUAAGUUUGGUUUUGUAAAGGGCUCACCUUGAAUUAGUGAUAAAUUUGACCACCGUGGGGCCUAAGAGGAGAGUAUAUAAAUGAAUGGAGGUGACCAAGGGGGAAUUGUGGCAGUCUAGAGGGGACAUGCCCCAUCACAGGUGCAACCAGUUAUUACCAAUGGGCAAUGUGGACUGUGUUCGCAGAUCUGAAUUUUUAAAAACAAAAGCAAAACAAAAAACCACCUUCUGGCUUUGUAGAGGUGUUGCUAUGUAACAUCUUGAAAGAAUAAAUAGUUAUCUAUAGAAAUGUCAGAGUGAAUAGGUUGAUGGUGGGUUACUCCAGGCAGGGGGACAGCAUAUGAACAAACACAUAAGAAACAGGAUGAUGCUUGUAGCUAAAGAAUAAGGCAAAAUGUGAUGGGGUUGGGGUUGGAGGGAUGGGCCAGGGCCACGUCAUACUGUGCCCCAUACACCAGUAUAGGGGUACC